rnacentral:lncRNA from 1 species
AACGAGGUUUAGGUUGCCAGAGGGGAAAGUGCCUCUUGUGUGGCCUGGAAGCUCUAUGGUCCAACCCCACCCCCUCACAGAUGGCUCUGUGAACAUUGACCCUAGAGUCAGAGUCCUGGAGUGCUCCUUCCUUGAUGACACAAAGCCAUCCUAAUUACUGGCAGGUUUGCUGAAGAAUUCCCAGUAUUAAUUUGAUCUGGGAAGAGAGCUAGGGAUUUUCUCAGUCUCAAGGAAAUGCGUUCAGUUAAGCUGAAGGAAAG